rnacentral:rRNA from 1 species
CCUACGGGAGGCAGCAGUGAGGAAUAUUGGUCAAUGGGCGGAAGCCUGAACCAGCCAAGUAGCGUGCAGGAUGACGGCCCUACGGGUUGUAAACUGCUUUUAUACGGGAAUAACGCGCCUUACGUGUAGGGCUUUGCAUGUACCGUACGAAUAAGGACCGGAUAAUUCCGUGCCAGCAGCCGCGGUAAUACGGAAGGUCCGGGCGUUACCCGGAUUUAUUGGGGUUAACGGGAGCGUAGGCCGGAUGUCAAGCGUGCUGUGAAAUGUCCGGGCUCAACCCGGGACUUGCAGCGCGGACUGGCGAGCUUGAGGCCGCGGAAGGCGGGCGGAAUUCGUGGUGUAGCGGUGAAAUGCGUAGAUAUGACGAAGAACCCCGAUUGCGAAGGCAGCUUGCUGGAGCGGAACUGACGCUGAGGCGCGAAAGCGCGGGUAUCGAACAGGAUUAGAUACCCGAGUAGUC